rnacentral:rRNA from 1 species
GCAGUCUGCAACUCGACUGCAUGAAGCUGGAAUCGCUAGUAAUCGCGAAUCAGAAUGUCGCGGUGAAUACGUUCCCGGGUCUUGUACACACCGCCCGUCACACCAUGGGAGCCGGCAACGCCCGAAGUCAGUGGCCUAACCGAGAGGGAGGAGCUGCCGAAGGCGGGGCUGGUAACUGGGGUGAAGUCGUAACAAGGUAUC